GAUUUUUUUUCCUACAUCAACCAAUUGAAAUUCCCCUAUUUCGACUUCCAUCUUCUUCAAACAUUGGAGCCACCGUAGAAUCACACUUCUACACUAACAAGGUUAGUCAUGGAAACUGUUGAGUAGUAAUUUCUUCCCCAUUUUCACUGAUUUCCCCAUCUUUACUUAUCACCAUGUAAGAAGUACAUUUCUUUUUCUCUCUUUUCCUUUAAUUUUCUUACUUCCUUUCCUAUUCCCUGUAAAUAGCCACCAUCAUCUUUUGUUUUCUCUUUAUCAAACCCUCACGAGAAAAAAAAUUAGAUGGCUUCCUCAAAAAGACCCUAUUCAGGAGAUAGUUCUAGGGUUUCUAAGAAACAACAAGUUGAACAAGUACUGUGGAUAAACUCUAAGCGGACAGCGAUUAGAGAGUAUGAAAUAAAACUCUUACCAACUAAUGGAGAAAGGGCCUGUGAAAUUUUGCACAAUAUUAGAUUUCAUGGUUGGGAACAUUUUGUGGAACAUCCAGGGGAGUAUGAUACAGAUAUCGUUAGUGAAUUAUAUGCUAACAUCAACAAAGACGCGAAAAUCUCGAUGCAAGGUAAGAAAAUUCCUUUCAAUCCUAAAGUUCUGAAUGAGAUAUUCUCUUUGAAGGAUAUUGAUGAUGAAGAUGUUAAAAUUAAGAUUAAACAAAAAGAUGAGAAUUUCUUUAAGGAAGCUCUGAAAGCUAUUUGUCUAAAUGGUGUGAGGAUCAAUACAGGGUCACCAAGGAAACCUUUGCACAUUUCUAGUUCUUGUAUACUCGAAACGGCACGAGCCUAGGGAAAAUUUACUUCUUUGAUCUUGAGGCUUAGCGGAAGGGCAAGGCAAAAGAGUGAUUGUUGGUGUUUGCUGUUCAGCUAUCCAGAGUUCUAGGUUGGGUCUGCUUCCAUCUCCCGUGGCUGAUAGUCGCCAUCAGCAUAGCAUCGAGUUUCCAGGGUGAGCACGAGUCGUUCGCUGCCUUGAAGACUCCUCUUAUUAUUAUGUCUUACUUUCUACUCUGAGACAUAGACAGAUUGAUGUAUUAUUAUAUUCCAGACUUGUAUAAUUUCACUUAGAUGCUCUUGUAUGGCUUAGACCAGACCCUGGGGGUAUUUUCCUUAUUUCCGCACUAUUUCUAUUAUAUAUUAUUGUGAGACUUAUGUAAUUAUUCUU